GGCGGACUUUGGCGAGGGCUCACCUGACAACAAAUUUGAUCAAUUUCCAUAAAUUUAUCCUUUGCAUGGUAAAGAAGCUUGAGAGGAAGGUCCUGAGGAGCUCACCUGGAGAGGAACGUCAGAGCACGAUUACGAGGAUUUCACUGCAAUGCCUGUUAGUAUCAUAAACAAGGGUGAGCGUUGGCAAAGGUCAAAGGAUAACCUAUUCCAUUUCGACAAUGAACAUGAUUUCAUAGAAACUGCUUUGACAAGCGUCACGGAAGAACCGACUACAAUCUUGAGUUAAGUGUGUCGAUCCAGGAUUAUUCUUAGUACCUUAACUCGCCUUGCGUACGGUUUAUUUUUUUACAUUUUUUCACGAAGCACAAAUUAGCACGCAGAGACACGCUUUGGGGGGGAAGUUGUCGCUAAAAUUGGACAGUUUAGUGCAGUUUUCCGUUUUUAGAUAUCUUUCCGACCCAAGAAUGUUCCGGGCUGUACGGAAUCGAGCAAA